AUUUGAUGAUGUGGACAUUGUAUUUGUGCCCAAAUCUUUCCCAAGCUUCGAAGAAUUCCUCCGUAUUCUUUUGUCUAAAAGUUUGGAUCUUGUUUCUAAACU
rnacentral:snoRNA from 1 species